AUCCCAGAACAUAGGGUGUCAUGCUCAGACCAUAUGGUGUCAUGCUCAGCAUAUAAAGCUGGGAUAAGAAGGAGGGAGUGAGGGACAUUCAUAGUGAUGGUGUUUGUCUUCCCAGGUCACCAUUACCCAUGAUGUAGCCCUGCUUUCUUGGGGAUGGCUGAAGACUUGCCUGCCCAUGGGAAGAGAAUUAGAACUAAACCCCUGGUAAAAUCUUCUGGUUGGUGAAGGAGCCAGUUUGGACGAUUUCCCUGUCUGAAAUAUGUCACUUUCAGCAUGAAACAGGAAAGCUGAACAACUGAUGAGAGAUGGAAUCUCUGCUACUAAGACAGGCUGAGAGAGUUGGGGUUAUUUGGCGUGGAGAAGAAAGGGCUCUGGGGAGACCUUAGAGCUCUUUCCUGUAAAUAAACAGGGCUACAAGAGAGGACAAGCUUUUCCCAAAACCCAUAAUGACUGGACAAGGGGCAAUAGUUUUAAACUCUAAGCAGGCUCAAAUGAUCAAUAUAUCCUUAAAGUGUCUUGGUGGCUUGGAUGAAGGGAAAAGUAAACCCCUG
rnacentral:lncRNA from 13 species